rnacentral:tRNA from 1 species
GGAAGUAGCUCAGCUUGGUAGAGCACAUGGUUUGGGACCAUGGGGUCGCAGGUUCAAAUCCUGUCUUCCCGAUU